rnacentral:rRNA from 1 species
UGCAAGUCGAGCGGUAGCACAGAGAGCUUGCUCUCGGGUGACGAGCGGCGGACGGGUGAGUAAUGUCUGGGAAACUGCCUGAUGGAGGGGGAUAACUACUGGAAACGGUAGCUAAUACCGCAUAACGUCGCAAGACCAAAGUGGGGGACCUUCGGGCCUCAUGCCAUCAGAUGUGCCCAGAUGGGAUUAGCUAGUAGGUGGGGUAACGGCUCACCUAGGCGACGAUCCCUAGCUGGUCUGAGAGGAUGACCAGCCACACUGGAACUGAGACACGGUCCAGACUCCUACGGGAGGCAGCAGUGGGGAAUAUUGCACAAUGGGCGCAAGCCUGAUGCAGCCAUGCCGCGUGUGUGAAGAAGGCCUUCGGGUUGUAAAGCACUUUCAGCGGGGAGGAAGGCGAUAAGGUUAAUAACCUUGUCGAUUGACGUUACCCGCAGAAGAAGCACCGGCUAACUCCGUGCCAGCAGCCGCGGUAAUACGGAGGGUGCAAGCGUUAAUCGGAAUUACUGGGCGUAAAGCGCACGCAGGCGGUCUGUCAAGUCGGAUGUGAAAUCCCCGGGCUCAACCUGGGAACUGCAUUCGAAACUGGCAGGCUAGAGUCUUGUAGAGGGGGGUAGAAUUCCAGGUGUAGCGGUGAAAUGCGUAGAGAUCUGGAGGAAUACCGGUGGCGAAGGCGGCCCCCUGGACAAAGACUGACGCUCAGGUGCGAAAGCGUGGGGAGCAAACAGGAUUAGAUACCCUGGUAGUCCACGCCGUAAACGAUGUCGAUUUGGAGGUUGUGCCCUUGAGGCGUGGCUUCCGGAGCUAACGCGUUAAAUCGACCGCCUGGGGAGUACGGCCGCAAGGUUAAAACUCAAAUGAAUUGACGGGGGCCCGCCCAAGCG